GCUUCCUGGGAUCGCUCAGUUAGUGGAGCGUGAGGCUCUUAAGGUCAGGGAUGUGGGUUCGAGCCCCACGUUGGGCA